AUGUUAAGUCGAUCUCGACAACAUACAAUUCUAGUAAAUCCCUAUAGAAAUUUUGCAGUUUUUCCAACAUGAAUUUUCACAUAAUAUGGCUUUGUGUCCUGAUGCGAAGCUGCUUCACUGCAGCAGAUGCCACCGACUCUGCAGAGAGUAGCAAGCAGGUUUUAACAUGUAUGACACUUCGGUACACUACAGCUAAGUACAGGAAAUAUUGUGUUUCCGACCACCGGCAUACAGAUGUGGAGUAUCCAGAUUUACAGUUAUCCAUUCCUCAAUCCGAAGAUUGCCAAAACAGAGUUUUUCAUCUAAGAACGAUUCUAGGCAACCAAUACUACAUUAGUUGGUUAGCGGGUGUUCCAGAGAAAAGCUGGAUCGACGCCAGGAAUUUCUGCAGAGAAAUGUGCAUGGAAUUAAUAGCAUUAGAAUCUGUGGCAGAAAAUGCGUGGCUGAAGCGAUUAAUGAGCGAAAUGCAGAUUAAAGAAGUGUGGACCGCGGGGCGAUUCUGCGACUUUAAGGGCUGCGAGUUCACAAAAACU
rnacentral:lncRNA from 1 species